AACGUAGGACGCAAGCGUUUAUCCGGAGUUACUGGGCGUAAAGGGCGUGUAGGCGGCUUUUCAAGUUCGUCGUGAAAGACCCCGGCUAAACCGGGGGAGGUCGAGGGAGACUGAGAAGCUAGAGGGCGGUAGAGGGACAGGGAAUUCCGGGUGUAGUGGUGAAAUGCGUAGAAUAUCGGGAGGAACACCGGUGGCGAAGGCGGCCUACUGGACGGAUACUGACGCUGAUACGCGAAAGCGUGG
rnacentral:rRNA from 1 species